UUCAUUCUAAGAAUUUGUACUUCGGCAUUCAUCUUGCUUGAGACUUGGGCAUGCAACAUUAUUCCUGUGUAGUAUUAAUGAUCUCACGAUCGUUCAUAAAACUUGCAUCUCAUUUUGAUAGGUACUUAACACUACCACAUUCAUCCUGUUUUAAUUCAAUAUUCUAUACAACAACAACAACAGCCCAGUGAAAUCCCACAUCUUGGGGUCUGGGGAGGGUAUAAUGUACGCAGACCUUACUCCUACCAAGGUAGGAUGGCUGUUUCCGAGAGACCCUCGGCUCAAUAGAAGCAUAAAAAGGGGGUCAGAUAAGGUUAAAAGAUUUAAAACGAUAUUGCAAUGAAAUAAUGCAAGCGACACAGUAAAACAGGAUAAUCAAGGAAUUCAAAGCGAUAUGGAAAUGCAAAUCACGAAAGCGGCACAGAUAAAAUAGAGUAAUCAAAGUACAGAAAGUAGCAAAUAAUAACAUAAAUCAAACCACAAGAAAUUAUAAUGCGCUAAUGCGCCUACUAAUAAGGAAAGAUAACGAGACUUAUAUUGUUAUACCCCGUACAUUUAUAUGACGAAUUAUCCGCAAGAAAAUCGACUCAAGUUAAAGGCGGAAUUAUUUUCGGAUACGAAAUAGAAAUCGUUAAUUUUCAAUUUUAAUUAAAACAUAAAUUGUGUAUGAAUUUUAUUGGUACAAAGAUAUUAUUGGAGAUUAGGGGUAAAUUAACUAUGAUUAGAUUAUUAAGUGGGAUUAAAAUUUAAAUCACUUCAUUAAUUAAUUAAGCUUAAGGGGCCAUGUGGGCCCCACCCGAAAAAAAAAAAAAAAAAGGAAUCAAAAUCUGGAAAUUAACAAAACAAGGUGCAAAAGUGAGUCAUCAAAAGGGGGAAUACGUGUAGCAAUAUGGGAUAUAUAUAUAUUUAAUGGGAUGUAGUGCAAAUGACCAUUUUCAAGUCAUUUGUUGGUACACAAAGCUCAAGAGCAAGAAAAAAAAAUGCCCAUGGCUGCUCACGGCUAGAUUGGGGCUUAAAAAAAAAAAUAAAAAAAAAAUCAGUUUUGUUGCUUAGUAAAAAUUCUAAGGAGAAGACAAGGAGAUAGAGGUGGAGAAGCAAGAACAAGUAUAAAGAUUUAAGACACAAAUUGGAGCCAAGUAUCCAAGGCGAAAAGAGCAACGAGGCAAAAGGGAUUCACGGAUAAUCGUCGACAGGUACCGACGACAGGUUUGCUGAUCCGUCCGUCUAGGAUAUUUUUCUGCCAUUUGGAGCGCUCUUUUAUUCAGAGCCCAUCUUUUGUGAUGCCUCCGAAAAAGGCGACGGCCGCCCAGAAGAAAAAGGGCGUGGUAGGAGAGACCAGUCGGGCUCAGAAGGGUACUCGGACCCUUGCUCAGAUGAUGCGUGAUAUUGCGUCCCAGCCAGCAGACUCUACUACGUCUUCAUCAUCAGAGGAGUCUGGAGCACCAAUCGCUGCCACUAGGGGUCGGGGGGCGGCUACACCAUUAGCUCCAGAGGCUCCAACGGCCGCGCCUCCAGUUCCCCAGCCAGGGGCAGAUGAUGGUACCCUGCGAGAGGCAGUUCAGCUAUUGACUCGACUAGUAGCGGGGCAGGCUCGCAGACGCGGGCGGAGGGAUGAUGAUGAUGAUGACAGGCGUGACAGCCUGAGGGUUCGAGAGUUCCUAUUAUGUGCCCCCCCAGAGUUUUUUGGGUCUAAGCCCGACGAGGACCCCCAUGACUUUAUUCGGGGGAUGCGGCGCUCACUAGACUUGAUCAGGGCUUCAGAGACUGAGUCUGUUGAGUUGGCCUCGCACAGACUACGGGAUGUUGCUGCUCACUGGUAUGAGUCCUGGGAGCUAUCCAGGGGUGAGGGUGCUUCCCCAGCUACUUGGGACGAGUUCGUGGCUGCGUUUACCCGCCACUUUUUGCCCCCAGAGUUACGGCGGGCGCAGGUUGAUCGAUUUUUGCAUCUGCAGCAGAGGGGUCGGAGCGUUCGUGAGUAUAAUUUGGAGUUUGAUUCUCUGGCCCGGUAUGCACCUGCCAUAGUAGCAGACAUGGCCGAUCGGAUGCACAGAUACGUGAUGGGGUUAGACCGUUAUUUGAUUGAUGGCUGUAUGGCGGUGGCAUUGCAGACAGAUAUGGAUAUCGCCCGACUACAGGCCCAUGCUCUGGGUAUGGAGGACCGACACAUGGACGAUUAUUCCAGCAGAGAUCGGGACAGGAGGCCGCCCAAGAGGGCCAGGUCUGCAGGAUAUUCUGGAGAUUCCCGAGGCAGACAGCCUCAGCCGCAGCAGCAGUCUAGCUGGCAUUCUUCCCAGCCGGCACAGAGCACACCUCCGCAGUUCUCAGGCAGGAGAUUUGAUAGCCCAGGGUAUUUAGGAGCAGGCCAGAGCUCCGGGGUUUCAGGUUCGCGGGUAGACAGGAGUUCCGGUCAGACGAGGCCACCCAGGCUUCAGUGUUCUUACUGUGGGAGAUACCACCCUGGAGAGUGCUACCGUGCUACAGGUGCUUGUUAUUCUUGUGGCCGCCAGGGCCAUACUGUGAGAGAGUGCCCGUAUAAGGGUAAUUUGGGAGGUGCAGCGCAGCCUACCGGGUCAGUCGCUGGGUCAUCGUCUCCUUCGAUAGCCAAACGCCCUGCGGGGCAGGGUACGUCGACAUCAGCAGGCCGCGGCAGAGGUCGUGGCGGAGCUCCCAGUUCAAGCGGUCCUUCGAACCGCAUCUAUGCCUUGACUAGUCGACAGGACCCGGAGGCGCUACCAAACGCGGAUACAGGUAUACUAAUGUCUUUUUUCGAAAUAUAAGUGUAUUGACAGGUCUAGCCUCUACUUUGUGAUAUAUUUUCCCCAAAAUGCUUACAAGACCCUAUAAGAUUAAUUUGACAUUCGAGGACGAAUGUUCUAAAGGGGGGAGGAUGUUAUACCCCGUACAUUUAUAUGACGAAUUAUCCGCAAGAAAAUCGACUCAAGUUAAAGGCGGAAUUAUUUUCGGAUACGAAAUAGAAAUCGUUAAUUUUCAAUUUUAAUUAAAACAUAAAUUGUGUAUGAAUUUUAUUGGUACAAAGAUAUUAUUGGAGAUUAGGGGUAAAUUAACUAUGAUUAGAUUAUUAAGUGGGAUUAAAAUUUAAAUCACUUCAUUAAUUAAUUAAGCUUAAGGGGCCAUGUGGGCCCCACCCGAAAAAAAAAAAAAAAGGAAUCAAAAUCUGGAAAUUAACAAAACAAGGUGCAAAAGUGAGUCAUCAAAAGGGGGAAUACGUGUAGCAAUAUGGGAUAUAUAUAUAUUUAAUGGGAUGUAGUGCAAAUGACCAUUUUCAAGUCAUUUGUUGGUACACAAAGCUCAAGAGCAAGAAAAAAAAAUGCCCAUGGCUGCUCACGGCUAGAUUGGGGCUUAAAAAAAAAAAAAAAAAAAAUCAGUUUUGUUGCUUAGUAAAAAUUCUAAGGAGAAGACAAGGAGAUAGAGGUGGAGAAGCAAGAACAAGUAUAAAGAUUUAAGACACAAAUUGGAGCCAAGUAUCCAAGGCGAAAAGAGCAACGAGGCAAAAGGGAUUCACGGAUAAUCGUCGACAGGUACCGACGACAGGUUUGCUGAUCCGUCCGUCUAGGAUAUUUUUCUGCCAUUUGGAGCGCUCUUUUAUUCAGAGCCCAUCUUUUGGUACAGUCUGUCACUACUGUAUUUAUAUAUUCUCGUUCAUGGGUACGGCGGGGCCCUGUCCCGUCAUAUGAUUCUGUCGGUCUGUUUAGAGGUCUGUAGACAUGUUUGUGGGUUGGGGUCUUUCUAUACGGAUGCGUGUAUAUGUUGUGUUUGGGCGAUCCCAUUCACCGCGGCGGCCGGUCCGCAUAUGUUUAAAUGUUGCUUUGUUGGCCCUGGGUGGUCAUUGUUGGUAUUAUCUGUGCGCAGGGUUAAUUUGGAUAGUCUGUAAAACAAAGGAAACUCUGCCGAAAUUUUUCUGGAAAUUAUCUAAAUUUGAAAUAUAGCCUUGUCGGCUUCUGCUAUAUACUUGAAUGCGUUUGAUAAAAAUUUGAGAUAGCAUUUGAUAGAUGUGUUUGGGUGCCCAGAUCGGGCACUAGUCACGGCCUAUGGGGUUGGGUCGUGACAUAUAUACUAGCCUUCUACCCUAAUGUGAGUCCUCCACACCUUCCUAUCUAAGGUCAUGUCCUCGGUAAGCCGUAACUGCGUCAUGUCCUGUCUAAUCACCUCUCCCCAAUAUUUCUUUGGCCUACCCCUACCUCUUCUGAAACCAUCCAUGGCUAACCUCUCACACCUCCGCACUGGGGCAUCUAUGUCUCUCCUCUUCACAUGCCCAAACCAUCUCAGUCGCAUUUCCCGCAUCUUGUCUUCCACCGAGGCCACUCCCACCUUAUCCCGAAUAGCCUCAUUUCUAAUCCUGUCGCUCCUAGUGUGCCCACACAUCCAUCUCAACAUUCUCAUCUCGGCAACUUUCAUCUUUUGAACGUGAGAGAUCUUAACUGGCCAACACUCCGCCCCAUACAACAUAGCCGGUCUAACCACCACUCUGUAGAACUUGCCCUUCAGUUGUGGUGGCACCUUCUUGUCACAUAGCACUCCUGAAGCUAGCCUCCAUUUCAUCCACCCUACCCCAAUACGAUGUGUGACAUCAUCGUCAAUCUCCCCGCUGCCUUGCAUGAUAGACCCAAGGUACUUGAAACUACUUUUCUUUUGGAUGGCCUAAGCACCAAGCCUAACUUCCACGCCAACCUCCUGGGGUGUCUCACUGAACUUAUACUCUAAGUACUCUGUCUUGGUCCUACUCAGCUUAAAUCCUUUAGACUCCAAGGUAUGUCUCCAAUCCUCCAUCUUAGCGUUAACUCCGCUACGAGUCUCAUCGAUCAGGACUAUGUCGUCCGCGAAAAGCAUACACCAUGGCACCUCACCUUGAAUUUGUCGCGUCA